rnacentral:rRNA from 1 species
UACGAAGGGAGCGAGCGUUGUUCGGAAUCACUGGGCUUAAAGCGUGCGUAGGCGGAUUGGUAAGUAAGAAGUGAAAUCCCAGGGCUUAACCCUGGAACUGCUUUUUAGACUGCCUGUCUGGAAUUCGGUAGAGGUUGGUGGAAUUCCUAGUGUAGAGGUGAAAUUCGCAGAUAUUAGGAAGAACACCGGUGGCGAAGGCGACCAACUGGACCGAUAUUGACGCUGAGGCACGAAAGCGUGGGUAGCAAACAGG